rnacentral:misc_RNA from 1 species
CAAGUACUACUUUUAAAAAUUUAUCUAUUAUUUUAAAAAUAAAGAAAAAGCUGCACAGUAGUUUAAUUAUUUCACUUUUCACUCUAAAGCAGUAAGUGGAGGCUUCUAGCAGAAUUUUCUGGAACUAAUUGAGCAUUCAAUAAACUCUACGCCUGCAGCUAUAGUGCUAUCGUAAUCUCUCGAUGGACGGGUUGCCGUUCCACACAUUUCAGCAUUUGUAAAACGCGUUGCGGGGAUCAGGCGAAAGGAUAUCUUCUCAAUUAGUUCCACGAAAUUCCGCUAGGAGCCUCCACUUACUCGGCCGAAGAAUUUAAAGAUUUCAGUACACUCCUACGGCGGGAUAGGUGUAGUUUCAUUUCAAAUCGUGCGAUUCGAAGGCGGGCGAAACGAAGUUUUCGUUUCGAUAAUACUCCCUGCAAAUCGGAGGGACGGUUUCUUCGUAAAUAAAACUCUCGAACGGUGAAGUAAACGAACCCUUAUCUUCCACGGUGAAUCGAUGUUCGUAUCUUCCGAAAGAUCGAUCUGCACGACCCGAGUGGAAAGUGCAGGCGGAAGUGUAGUCGGACGAACAAAUGAAUUCGCGGUGUUCGCCGCUGGAUUGUUUGCACGUGCAAACCCUCCUCGCUGCCUCCUCGCGUUGCGGAGAUAAAUUCGCGUUCCGCGACACAAUUCCACCGCCGCCGCCGACAGAUACGAAUCGCUGCGGUGAAUGUAAACGGACGACUUCAAGAGCUGCGCGUGUAUGUACUCGCUCGUGUCUGCCUCUCCCCCGUCGCGAGGUAAUUUUUCCUUAUCCCGGCUGAUCCUGACUUUUUAGUGUCGAUCGCGUUGGGAUCUUUGCAUCGCAACGUGGACAACCAUCGGCGUGACAAGAUCCAAGUCGCAUCGCGUGUACUUCCAAGCGGCUUGAAAUCAGCAGCCUCCAAUCAUGUCCGCGACUCGCGUCAUGGGAGUGAACGAGGCUGAACUGGAGAACGUCUUACAGCAGAUAUUUGUGGAGUGCGAGGCCUCUAUGUCGGUGUCAACAUCGCCGGACUCGACGGUAUCGAUAGGCGAGGAUGUACCGGUCUCCAGAAUCGUCGAGUAUAUCAAGAACCAAUUGCGGAGCUGGUCAAUCGAUAAUCUGGUGGAGCUGUGGAAGUGCCUGGUCGCAGCGUCGACGAAUGGACGCGUGAGUCUGCAGCAGUUCAAGCAGGCGACGAAAUGUUGGAUCACGAAGGCGCAGCAAGUUCCGUCCUUGCAAGACGGCAAUAAUAAUGCACAGGAAAGAGUCUACAUCAUAGACGACGCAGACUCGUCGAUGACAAUGGACAUGGACAAAGAUGUCAUCGAAGUGGAGCUUCGUAUGAGGCUCCGAGAAGUCAACGAUGAGAACAUGCUCCUCCGCGACGAGCUCGAGCGGCACGAGGCGACGAUAGAGACUCUCAAACUGCAGUGUAACAUUAAUGAGAAACAGUUAGAUCGUUACAUUCAGAAGUGCCAGCAACUGGAAAAGGAGAACGACGAGCAGAGGGACAAACUGAAUGAAGCGAUGAGGAACGAGAAGACUUUAGCUUCGGCUCUCCGAAGGUCCACAAAGGAAUAUAAGGAUUUGUUGAAACAAUUGGAAGCCGCGGAAAUUGAGGUGCAAGCUAUACCGUCUUUAAAAGAUAAAGUGGAAAAGAUCAGCAAGGAGAAGGUAAUUUGCCUAAGACAAAUCACUAAACUGCAAGAAGAGUUCAACGAGAGGGAAGACGAGUGUAAGCAGCUGAAAGUCACAGUGACCGAACUGAAGGAUGCGAGUAGCAAUAUGAAGGACACCUACGAAUUUACGAUUCGUAAUUUACGCGAGAAAAAUCGUCAGCUUGUGGACGAAAACGUGGAGCUACAAUCGUCGCUUCUUAAUGGAGAAGGGAAUUCGACAUCGCCAAUCCCGGACACGGAUGGAUGCUGUACGCAUAGCACACCUUAUAAACCGGAGAAAGUGGAGCGGCAAGAUUCAUUGUAUGCAGAAUUGAUAGCUUCGGGUUUUGCAGUCGAAUGCAGCAAAAACGAAUCGUGCAAACUGGAGCUCGAAGAGGAACUGGAACAGUAUGACACUGCGAUUUCUGCGAUAUCGGAGCAGCUAGAGAAAGUUGUACAAGCGUUCGUUACCAUGCGGGGCUCUUCUAACGCUGUACCUCGGUCGGACUCUCAGGAUGCGGAUGCUAAGACGCGUAGUAUUGAAGCAUUGGAGCACAAAAUAGCUUUCCUGCUGCAUAUGGCGACCGAAGAGAUCACGAAGCGGAGCACCGAGGAUGCGAGCACGCUGCUUCGAGCCGAUGCGGCAAACCCAACCGAGAAUCUGCACCAAUUCGGUGUCUCUAAUUUCCACGACGCACUGGCACGCGCCCAGCCGUCUGCAAAAGCAAAGACGGAUCUGUGGCCGAUAACUCCUCAAUGCGUGGAAAGCAAUAAGGACAACGACAGUGACCCAUUUUUGAGAGUUAUAAAAACAUUCAGGAAUAGUCGCAUCAUCGAUCCGAUUGUUGAAGAACUAAACGAGAUCAUCGAGGACACCCUUAACUCGCUUACGACUCGCAAGGAUCAGUCGUCGGCGUACGGAAACUCAAGGCAUCGAUCAGUACAUACAUUGCCGUCGCAUUCUCAAGCCUUGCAGCCAUCUUCGUUGAGCACGGAAGACUACUCCAGCUGUCAAAGUUCAGAAACAAACACUUCCGACGCUUUGUUCGCGCAAGGUGAUGGCUUAAAACAGGAAGACAAAAAAUUCGUUACGGAGCCAGGGGACGUUCCCGACCAAGAAAAAUUGAUUGAUCUUGAAGAGAAUCCACGCGAAAUGCCGCGAAUUUCGAGUAUCUUGCAAGUGAAUGCGGAGGCGUUCAAGAUCGCAUCGAGCGAGAUGAACAGCAAGAGCUCCCAGAUACCGGAAGUGAGCAGCGCGAGCAAGUCGACGAGUCCCCGCAGGAAGAUCUCGGUCUAUUGUCGAUCGUUCGACGUGGUGGCGGUGCAGGACUCGCGCGAAAAUCAGGGAUCCGAUUUCGCGGUGAGGCAAUCCACGAGCAACUCUGCCGCGCAAACCAACGAGAUCGACGAGAAGGAUGAAAAUAACUUGUUUAAUUAUCAGUUCAAUCAUGGUUACCGCAACGCGAAGAACGAGAGCGAUUCCUCGAAUGACUCCACGCCGCAGAAACAAUUCCGGAAUAGCCAGUUGGAGGAUGAACCGCUGGCCGAACAAGCAGUACCCAGAAAAAUUCACUUAGCCCCCACGCGCUUGAUUCUUCCGCAAGAAGGUAAAAACGAUGUAAAUGGAACCAUCGACUGCGCUUCUUCCGCUGGUGGACGCGAGGAAAACGACAAUGCCUCUUCCGUGUGCUCGUCUUCGACAUUCUUUGAAGUGGACAAUUGCGAUACGUUGGACAGCGUACCACUCGAGAUCGAAUCGCGUUCAGCGACUCUGACGCAGGAACAGUUAACACCGUCUUGCCUAAUCCCGCAUGAUCGGUCAGAUUCAGCGAAAUUCGCGGAUUCAGAGGGUCCCCACUCUCAAGUGAGCGUGCUGAGAGCCAGCAGCGAGAGUCGGCCGCGAGUCGAGCGAUCAGUCGACAACCAAAUGUCGAGUCGCGAAGACAGUUCACUCGGUUCGGACAGCGAGUGCGAGGCGGCGGCGUCGGCAGCCGGUGAUCGAUUUAUCGACGAGAAAUCCGCAGAUGAGGUCGAUAAAGCUGCCAGUGCCGUGUCGUCCACGUUGUCGAGGGAUUCGACCUUUACGAGGGUGGCACCGUACACGAACGCUCAGAAGGAUGAAAAAACGCACGACAAGGACGUGAAGAAGAGACGGCAGCGGCUGCUAAUUGCCAGGAGGUCGUUGUCGGAAGGUGAGCUCAAGUGCCCGCAAGAGUGCCAUUGCGAACGGAAUAAUAGUGCUCAAGGUAUAGCCCCGAUUCAGCGAGAGAAUAAUCAACCAAGAGUCUUCCCAAGUCUCACGGAUAUUCGUCUGCAGGAAUUCGGAAUAGCCAACUUGUCAGACACGGAGUUAAGCAACAAGGAGAAUCUGAACGAGCUCGAACUGCAGAAGAGGUACAUAGCGUUCUCGCUGUGCCUCUGCACAGAUAGGGUGACCCUACCACGAAGGGUAGCGAUGUCGCUUCGGCAACGCGACCAAUCUGAAAAAAAUCUCUCCAACGAGGUGCAAAAGAUGCAGCAAGACAUUCAGGGAAUCCGUGGAGCGGGUGGAGCGGGUCAGGCAUCAGUUGGACAUGAUCGCGCGCUGCGCGCACAGGGUAUCUUGCGUGGCCGAGACUCUGGGUGCCGUACACCAGGAGCUUAGGGUCUCCCGGGCUGUUCUCCUAGCCGACAGGUACCUCCAGGUGUUGCAGUCCCGCUGCGAGAAGCUGGCUUCGAAUAUCGCUGAGACUAAACGGAUCCUGAUAGAAAACAACAUAGUGAUAGAGGAGAACUCGGCCGAGUUGGGCGACGAUCUGCCUCGGAUUAAAUACAGGAGCAGUACACCCGUCAAUAAUCGCUCGUCAAUGAUG